UACGAAGGGUGCAAGCGUUACUCGGAAUUACUGGGCGUAAAGCGUGCGUAGGUGGUGAGUUAAGUCUGAUGUGAAAUCCCCGGGCUCAACCUGGGAAUGGCAUUGGAUACUGGCUCGCUGGAGUGCGGCAGAGGGGGAUGGAAUUCCGCGUGUAGCAGUGAAAUGCGUAGAUAUGCGGAGGAACACCGAUGGCGAAGGCAAUCCCCUGGGCCUGCACUGACGCUCAUGCACGAAAGCGUGGGGAGCAAACAGG
rnacentral:rRNA from 1 species